UACGUAGGAGGCGAGCGUUGUCCGGAAUUACUGGGCGUAAAGCGUGCGCAGGCGGUUUUGUAAGCCAGAUGUGAAAUCCCCGGGCUUAACCUGGGAAUGGCAUUUGGGACUGCAAGGCUCGAGUGCGGCAGAGGAGACUGGAAUUCCUGGUGUAGCAGUGAAAUGCGUAGAUAUCAGGAGGAAUACCGAUGGCGAAGGCAGGUCUCUGGGCUGACACUGACGCUCAUGCACGAAAGCGUGGGGAGCAAACAGG
rnacentral:rRNA from 1 species